CCUACGGGAGGCAGCAGUGGGGAAUUUUGGACAAUGGGGGCAACCCUGAUCCAGCAAUGCCGCGUGUGUGAAGAAGGCCUUCGGGUUGUAAAGCACUUUUGUCCGGAAAGAAAUCGCCCUGGUUAAUACCUGGUGUGGAUGACGGUACCGGAAGAAUAAGGACCGGCUAACUACGUGCCAGCAGCCGCGGUAAUA
rnacentral:rRNA from 1 species